AUGAGUUGCAAAACUCCAACCAUCGCGAAUGUAACCUAUUGCAGUUUCUUCGGCGGGUGGCCCUGAGAUGGGCUGCGCACACCCGUGGGUCACGGGGGGUAUACCCGCCGGAGUCGUACAAACUCUUGUAUUUGUUGGCAUCAUCUGAGUAACUUUUACAAUAAGUUAA
rnacentral:misc_RNA from 1 species